rnacentral:misc_RNA from 1 species
ACUCGACAGUCUUAUCCGUGAAGGUUCACUAGAGUGGAGGAAUCUCUGUGAAAACAAGACGUACAGGGAGCGUUUCCCAGAUAAGCAUUUUGACCUCGAAACAGUGGUCCAGGCUAAAGUACGCCCGCUCUCAGUAGUCCCAGAGAAAUCAUUCAUUGGUUUUUUUCAUCCUGAAGGAAUCGAAGAUGAGGGAUUCGAUUUUCUGAAAGAUGCCAUGUCCUUUGACAACAUUUGGGAUGAGAUUUCUAAAUCUGUUCAAGACAGUCCCAGUCAUGGCGAGUGCUUUGUUUACAUUGUGAGUUGGAAUGACCACUUCUUCAUCCUCAAGGUUGAACGAG